GAUGAACGCUAGCUAUAGGCUUAACACAUGCAAGUCGAGGGGAAACGGCAUUAUGUGCUUGCACAUUUUGGACGUCGACCGGCGCACGGGUGAGUAUCGCGUAUCCAACCUGCCCUUUACUUGGGGAUACCCCGUUGAAAGACGGCCUAAUACCCGAUAUUGUUCAUUGAUGGCAUCAGAUAUGAAUAAAAGAUUUAUCGGUAAAGGAUGGGGAUGCGUCUGAUUAGCUUGUUGGUGAGGUAAAGGCUCACCAAGGCAACGAUCAGUAGGGGUUCUGAGAGGAAGGUCCCCCACAUUGGAACUGAGACACGGUCCAAACUCCUACGGGAGGCAGCAGUGAGGAAUAUUGGUCAAUGGGCGCAAGCCUGAACCAGCCAAGUAGCGUGCAGGAAGACGGCCCUAUGGGUUGUAAACUGCUUUUAUACGAGAAUAAUUUGAUGCACGUGUGCGUUAUUGCAUGUAUCGUAUGAAUAAGGACCGGCUAAUUCCGUGCCAGCAGCCGCGGUAAUACGGAAGGUCCAGGCGUUAUCCGGAUUUAUUGGGUUUAAAGGGAGUGUAGGCGGUUUGUUAAGCGUGUUGUGAAAUUUAGGUGCUCAACAUUUAACUUGCAGCGCGAACUGUCAGACUUGAGUACACGCAACGUAUGCGGAAUUCAUGGUGUAGCGGUGAAAUGCUUAGAUAUCAUGAAGAACUCCGAUUGCGAAGGCAGCAUACGGGAGUGUAACUGACGCUUAAGCUCGAAGGUGCGGGUAUCGAACAGG
rnacentral:rRNA from 1 species